rnacentral:lncRNA from 1 species
UUUCAUUUUUCAUCAAAAAAACCGUUUAGAAACACUUAAUCACUGCAAUAAACAGAGAUAUUCCGCUAAUUCUUCUAUGUAAUUAGUUCGAUGUAUAAAGAUUAAAGAUGUUGAUGUUCAUGUAAGUUUCACUCGACGCGACUUACAUUACAAAUCAUAUUUAGUCUCAUUUCGUGCCUCUCUUUCUAGUCUCUUCUGCAAAUUCCAAAAGGCAUCAAUACAUUUUGAAAAUGUAUUUUCUGACUUGAUUCUUACAGAAGUGUUGUUAACACCACUUAACCUAGAGUGUGUAUAUCUGAUGUUGGAUGUGAAAAGAAAAAAGAAGUAUUUGUUAUGAAGAAGUAAAAGUAUCAGAUGAACAUAAAGAGAACGUCUGGGGAGACUAAAGAAGGGACGCUACUUAAUCUCUCCCCCUUUCCUAAAACACAAAACCAAAAACAGACUUCUUUUCUUUCCCCCUCAAAACUUGUCUCUAAUGGGNNN